CCUACCAAAAAACCAGGCAAACGGCCGCUCUGGGGCAAAGUCUCCGAUAUGCCGCUUCUAUGAUGAGCUGCAUACUAUUCUAGGCGGUGCCCCUAGAACUACCCUACCCCGUGCUUUGACUCCAUCAAUGGACUCUCAUGCAACAGGGAUGCGGAUUUAGGGGAAGAGGAGGAGGAGGAGGACGUUGAAGUUAGCGCGCAGCAAGGAUGUGGAGAAAACGUUUUCCCCGGCAGCCAGGAACUGUUAUCACUCUGGACCUAGUACUCUCCCAACCCACGCAGGUGGGCUCACAGACCUUGAAGGAAGUGAAGGCACCUCUGCUGCAAAUAUUUCAAUGCUCACUGUAUCAUCUCCAUCCCAGAGGCUAGAUUAGAUUGGAAGGC